GGCAGCGUGGCUGCGUGCGUCAGCUGUUUGUGUGGCGCGGAGAAGCUGGGCUGUCGACAGCGCUAAACCUAGCCGCGUACUAGCUUCCCGUGGGAUACUACACGAAGCUGAGUGAUAUUCGCUGCUCGGCCGCCGAGCCGGACGGACGUGUGGCGGCAGCGCUGGGAGGGUUGGCGUAAACAGCGGCUGUGUGGCUGUUACGAAGACUUCCAGCCACUAUGGCGGGGAGGCCCACCCCUGGCACUCACAGUCAUCCCCACAGCUACCACGGCCGGACUCCUGUUGUUGCAGCACCACCGACGACUCCAUGUCACACUACUCCACCUGAUGAAGCUGCCAUCGCUCGCAUGCGGAGCCUUUCUAGCAAGGAGAGAGUCAGGAGGCUGUCGCAGGCAGUAACAGAGGGAGCUGUGGAAGAUGUGCGGGUGUUGCUGGCGGCAGAUCCACAAAUGGGGGAGAGCGACAAACACAGAGAGAUGGCCCUGCGCAGGGCAGCAGGCAAGGGACAUGUGGAGAUGGUCAGAUGCCUGCUUGAAAGUGGGGUGGAUGUGCAUGCCAGGUCCAAUAAGCACACCACACCUAUGCACAGGGCUGCAUUCAAUGACCACGCAGCUGUGGUGCGGCUACUGGCAUCAUACGCUGCAGACCCCAAUGCCAUGAGUAAAACAGGGAGGACGCCACUGCACUGCACUGCACAAAAGGGCUGCACUGAGGCAGCUGUUGCACUGCUUGAGGUGGGAGCUCACAGGUCUGCCAGAGAUCAUGAGGGGUACACCCCCUUUGACAUAGCCAGGGAGUGCAACAAUGAGCAGAUCAUACACAUUCUAUCAAGAAGCCUGGUGUCAUCUCGACAGAGUGCCUGUAAGGACCACCACACAACCCACUGCACAGCAACUCUGUUCAGCACGUGCCGCUGCCAACUGCGCUCUCAUUGUCUCAGAGGCCAGCCUUCUUAACUAUGGCUCAAACAAACUGUACAGCUCAUGGAGUAAUGUUAAGAAUGUAUGCAUACAGUUGGAUCACAAAACUAAAUACGUCACACAAGAUGUGAAUGCUACACCAUUCGAAAAGAAUAGAAACCAGUGGUCCAAAUAAUAUUUUACGAAAUUACUAUGGAGACAGACACAACAUCACAGUUUUGCUUAAUUAUUUAAGAAAGCACAACGACCAACAGCCUUAAUUUCCAAAGAGGAUUUUGCAACUGACUGCCAAGUAGUAACAACAGCCUACCUCAUGAGUAGUGACAUAACAGCAAUGUAGCAGCAGCCUGUUAAGAACUCAGAAACUUGAGCUGCAGAAUUCAGAGAUAGUCAGGGGGACUUCUAUGGGAUGGGUUUAGUGUAAAACAGUUGAAGAAAUGACCAGUAACAGCAAUACACUCAUAAGUUAAAUCUCCAUCCUUGUAAUAUUGUCGUAUAUGCUCUUCUUCAUCAGACUGCUGCUGGCCAAACAAUUGUUGUAGCACUUGAGGCAAGAGAGAGACCUUCAACUAUGAAUACAACAAGAGAACAACACAAUUCACACAAAAUGGGACACAGAUGAAGUAACGAAAAUCACAAAAGUACAUGACAAAAAGUGCUUUAAUUUGGCCCAUAAAGCAAAUGAAGAGUAGCAGCCGGGAGACUGAAGCAAAGCUACACUCUAAGUCGACACUAGCUGCAUGCGGCUGUUGGCAAAUGUCGUGACUACCCAAUGUGCCCACUGGAAACUAUCAAGCAGCACGAGCAGUGCCCCAUGCAGCUGCUGGACGAUAUGGUGCAGAGGUAGUGCCACAUAGCCGUAAAUAGCCAUCUAGCCCACAUGCAGAUGGCAAACAUCAGCCUGUGCCUCGUGGUCUGAAUGGCAGUCAACUCGUUCAGCAUUUGUCAGGAUGUUCCUUUAAGUAUGAUAAAAUCCAUGC
rnacentral:misc_RNA from 1 species